CCUUUUAGAGUCAAUAUUAAACAACUUUUCCUCAUUUUUGUAACUUGUAUAAAAAUCUUUUCUAAAACUACUUGGCCAAAUUUAACCAAACUUGGCCACAAUCAUAAUACUAGGGUAUCUAUUUUUAAAAAGAGUGUCUAAUGACCCUGCCUACCAACAAAGAUGGCUGACAUCAGUAAACACAUUAACAGGUGAGCGACACAGGCUCUUGAGAGCCUCUAGUUUUUAUUUAAACAAAUUUUU
rnacentral:lncRNA from 1 species